rnacentral:rRNA from 1 species
AGGGGCAGCAUAAUGGAUAGCAAUAUCUAUGGUGGCGACCGGCGCACGGGUGCGUAACGCGUAUGCAACCUACCUUUAACAGGGGGAUAACACUGAGAAAUUGGUACUAAUACCCCAUAAUAUUCGGAGAGGCAUCUCUCCGGGUUGAAAACUCCGGUGGUUAUAGAUGGACAUGCGUUGUAUUAGCUAGUUGGUGAGGUAACGGCUCACCAAGGCAACGAUACAUAGGGGGACUGAGAGGUUAACCCCCACACUGGUACUGAGACACGGACCAGACUCC